GGGCCGUUAGCUCAGUUGGUAGAGCAGUGGACUCUUAAUCCAUCGGUCGUAGGUUCGAAUCCUACACGGCCCACCA
rnacentral:tRNA from 1 species